GAAAAAGAGGCUACAGUUUGCCAAACAACACAUUGACUGACCUAAAGAGAAAUGGUGCAACAUUUUGUGGACUGAUGAAUGCAAGAUUGUUCUUUUUGGGU